rnacentral:rRNA from 1 species
UACAGAGGUGGCAAGCGUUGUUCGGAAUUACUGGGCGUAAAGAGCUCGUAGGUGGUUUGUCACGUUGUUCGUGAAAACCCACAGCUCAACUGUGGGCGUGCGAGCGAUACGGGCAGACUAGAGUACUGCAGGGGAGACUGGAAUUCCUGGUGUAGCGGUGAAUGCGCAGAUAUCAGGAGGAACACCCGGUGGCGAAGGCGGGUCUCUGGGCAGUAACUGACGCUGAGGAGCGAAAGCGUGGGGAGCGAACAGG